rnacentral:rRNA from 1 species
UCCGGUUGAUCCCUGCCGGACCUUGACUGCUAUUCGGAUUGAUACUAAGCCAUUGCGAGUCAUUUGUAGGUAAUACAAGGGCAGACUGGCUCAGUAACGUCGUUAGUUCAACUCUAACCUAUGGACUGGGAAUAACCUCGGGAAAGCUGAGAAUAAUGCCCGAUAGAACACUAUGUCCUGGUAAUGGUUUUGUGUUCCAAAUUGAUUUAUCGCUCGUAGGAUUGGGACUUGCGGCCUAUCAGUUGUGUUUGGUGAGGUUAAUGGCCCACCAAUGACUAUUACAGUGUUACGGUGCUCUGAGAGGAGGUGGCCCUGGAGAUGGGUACUUGAGACACUGGACCCAGUGCCCUAUGUGGGCGCAGUCAGUGCGAGUAAAACUUUUGCAAUUGUUGCGAAAGUCACGACAAUGGUUAAUCGCGAGUUGGUUUUCUGCUAUAUAGGAACCUUUUGGUCUGGUCCUAUGAAGCACCGUAUGAAUAGUAGUGGGUGGUGCAAGUUUCUGGUGUUCAGCACGCCGCAGUGAAAACCUAGCACCUACAAGUUGGUCAUGGAUUGAUUAUUUGGGCCUAAUAAGCAUCCCGUUAGACCUGU